rnacentral:rRNA from 1 species
GACGAACCGAGCGAACGUUGUUCGGAAUCACUGGGCUUAAAGGGCGCGUAGGCGGGCUGUCAAGUCUGGGGUGAAAUCCCGCGGCUCAACCGUGGAACUGCCUUAGAUACUGACGGCCUCGAGGGAGGUAGGGGCGAGCGGAACUGUGAGUGGAGCGGUGAAAUGCGUUGAUAUUCACAGGAACACCCGUGGCGAAGGCGGCUCUCUGGGACGGUACUGACGCUGAGACGCGAAAGCGUGGGGAGCGAACAGG